CAAGCAUCCAUCGUUUUGUGGUCGUGGUUGUGGUUCGUGUGAGUUGAGCCUAACGCUGAAACUGCCAAGUGGCCGUAUUAGCAGCACUGGCCGUAUAACCCUCAGUUACCUUACUUUGGCAAGAUUGCGAUUGGUUAAUUUAUAUUUGCUCAGAUGAAGCUCGGGAAUUCUAUUAUUAUUGUGGUUUGAUGUAUAUGACAAGCGAAUUACGUUGAUUUUUCUACAACAAUCAUAAAAUCGAUAAAUUCAGUUGAUUAGAAAAAAUGAAGAUCACAAUCCUAUUAUGUUUUUUCAUAAUGUGUUCAAUUUUAUCUGGAAGGAGCGAAAACAUGGGAAAUGAAUCGAUUGUCACCGAUGGAACAUUAAGGGCCAGUGAAACGGAUCAGAUUUUACAGGCAUUAGAGAAACUAGAGAACAAAGUAAAAAACUUUGCAAAAUCUGCAAUUCAGUUUGGUCUUCCUUUCUUCAUGAGAACUGCUGAAGAAGCGAAUUUGUCUCAUUCGUGUAAUAAAACUGG
rnacentral:lncRNA from 1 species